CAGUCGCCACGGGAAUACGAAGGGGGCUAGCGUUGCUCGGAAUUACUGGGCGUAAAGGGAGCGUAGGCGGGUCGUUUAGUCAGAGGUGAAAUCCCGGGGCUCAACCUCGGAACUGCCUUUGAUACUGGCGACCUUGAGGAUGGGAGAGGUAAGCGGAACUCCGAGUGUAGAGGUGAAAUUCGUAGAUAUUCGGAAGAACACCAGUGGCGAAAGCGGCUUACUGGCCCAUUACUGACGCUGAGGCUCAAAAGCGUGGGGAGCAAACAGGAUUAGAUACCCCGGUAGUCCCUGUCUCUUAUAC
rnacentral:rRNA from 1 species